CACCGCGGUUAAACGGGAGGCCCAAGUUGAUAGUCUUCGGCGUAAAGAGUGGACCGGGUUUAACGUAAACUAAAGUCGAAAGCCUUCUCACGCUGUGAUACGCGCCUGAAGGUGGGAAGCACAACUACGAAAGUGACUUUAACAACCCUAUGCCCACGAAAGCUAAGAAA
rnacentral:rRNA from 1 species